UCGUAACAAGGUUUCCGUAGGUGAACCUGCGGAAGGAUCAUUACCGAGUGAGGGCCCUCUGGGUCCAACCUCCCACCCGUGUCUAUCGUACCUUGUUGCUUCGGCGGGCCCGCCGUUUCGACGGCCGCCGGGGAGGCCUCGCGCCCCCGGGCCCGCGCCCGCCGAAGACCCCAACAUGAACGCUGUUCUGAAAGUAUGCAGUCUGAGUUGAUUAUCAUAAUCAGUUAAAACUUUCAACAACGGAUCUCUUGGUUCCGGCAUCGAUGAAGAACGCAGCGAAAUGCGAUAAGUAAUGUGAAUUGCAGAAUUCAGUGAAUCAUCGAGUCUUUGAACGCACAUUGCGCCCCCUGGUAUUCCGGGGGGCAUGCCUGUCCGAGCGUCAUUGCUGCCCUCAAGCACGGCUUGUGUGUUGGGCCCCCGUCCCCUCUCCCGGGGACGGGCCCGAAAGGCAGCGGCGGCACCGCGUCCGGUCCUCGAGCGUAUGGGGCUUUGUCACCCGCUCUGUAGGCCCGGCCGGCGCCAGCCGACACCCAACUUUAUUUCUAAGGUUGACCUCGGAUCAGGUAGGGAUACCCGCUGAACUUAAGCAUAUCAAUAA
rnacentral:misc_RNA from 1 species